rnacentral:lncRNA from 1 species
AAGUGGAAUAAAUUAAAAUAAAUAAAAUAAGCAAAGGUACAUCGGGGAGGUGUUUAGUAUAGAGAUUAUAUAAUCCAUCGAUGCAGUAUGUUGGUGGGAUGGUUGUCAUUUAUGAUGUAGGUCUUCUUGUUAUAUUGCUCAAUAAUGAUGGCUUCAGCCAUUUUAAUAUCUUCUGCUUUGCUUAUCGCUCUGAUGAUGUGUACUUGACUCCACUCAAUGCUGAUGUCAUGCUAGAAGUACUAGAUGAGCAUUGUAUUGAAGGAUCACUUUUUUAUGCUGCUUUGAUGUUCCUUUAAAUGGGUCUAAAUAUCUUAUAAUACUACCAACAUAUAUUUCUCGUCUAUUAAGAUCAUCGUUAUAGAUGGGAAUGAUAUGCCAGCAUGCUGGAGGGCAGUAUUGGUGGCUUAACUUUCUUUAAUGUGUGGAAUGUGUGAUAGUCGCAUUCGACUAUACAGUAAAACUUUAUCUUUUAAUAAUGCCUUGUCUAGGGGGAUAUAAUGGCUUCAUGAUAUUGAAUUGGUUGUAAGUGUAUCUUAAUUUGUUUUUGUGAGAUCAUGGGUGAUAAAGGUGGUUUGUGUGUAUCUCUCAAUGGAUUUGUCAAUAUUUUUUAUGAAUGCUGUGUCAUACCCAUGCAGUAUUGCCUGGUCUACUAUAGUGAUAUUUUCAGCUUGCUUAGUUAAGUCGUCAGAGCAG